GCGGACAUAGCUCAGUUGGUAGAGCGCCACCUUGCCAUGGUGGAGGUCGCCGGUUCGAGACCGGCUGUUCGCU
rnacentral:tRNA from 1 species